GCGCCCAUGGUCUAGUGGUAUGAUGUGUCACUAGUAAAUUACUAGGUAAUGACAAGGUGAAGAGUUCGAUUCUCUUUGGGCGCA